AUUGAACGCUGGCGGCAGGCCUAACACAUGCAAGUCGAGCGGUAGAGAGAAGCUUGCUUCUCUUGAGAGCGGCGGACGGGUGAGUAAUGUCUAGGAAUCUGCCUGGUAGUGGGGGAUAACGUUCGGAAACGGACGCCAAUACCGCAUACGUCCUACAGGAGAAAGCAGGGGACCUUCGGGCCUUGCGCUAUCAGAUGAGCCUAGGUCGGAUUAGCUAGUUGGUGAGGUAAUGGCACACCAAGGCGACGAUCCGUAACUGGUCUGAGAGGAUGAUCAGUCACAUUGGAACUGAGACACGGUCCAGACUCCUACGGGAGGCAGCAGUGGGGAAUAUUGGACAAUGGGCGAAAGCCUGAUCCAGCCAUGCCGCGUGUGUGAAGAAGGUCUUCGGAUUGUAAAGCACUUUAAGUUGGGAGGAAGGGUUGUAGAUUAAUACUCUGCAAUUUUGACGUUACCGACAGAAUAAGCACCGGCUAACUCUGUGCCAGCCGCCGCCGUAA
rnacentral:rRNA from 1 species